rnacentral:lncRNA from 1 species
GAAAAACAGGGGGAUUAUUUCUCCUUUCCAUAGGCACAAGGUCUUAACUCUCUUCACUUAGAUCACUAUUGCAUACGAAUAUUAUUCAAAAUAUGAAUAAAGAACGACAUGGAGGAAAGGAAACUGAUCUCAACUUUACAUAAAAAUGCUCAAAGCACAAAGCAUCUGACACGGAUAAUUCAAACUGUUAAGAAGUAUAGUUUCAUCACUAAAGUUUCAUCAUUCAUUCUCAAGUCAUACAACUUUUUAAGAGAUUGUUAAUUAUCCGUCAAUAGGAAAAUUGUCAUAUCCAUCGUCUUCUUCCGGUUGUGCAAAAUAUGGCAAUCUCAUGCUACAGAGGUGGAUCUCUCACCCUUGCCUGAAACAACAGGCAAGCAAGACAGAAAAAAAAAGUGGGCGGAUUGCCACUAGAACCACUGCACUAUGGCCAGCCUAUACAGAGCAUCUAUGCCUAAACUCUAAACCCUACCAAAAUGGCAGUGCCCAAAAAACAUCCAGAAUGGAGGGGAAAAUAGCAUCUCCCAUGGAGAUCGACAUUUAAUCGCUCCAGCGGAUCAACAUGACAAUGCAGCGGCGGAAAAUGUAAAACCUAGCCCUCUUCUCCUUGAAGGCUUUGUUGAGCCUCCCCAUCUGCCUCCCUUGUCCUCCAAGCUUCAUGGUCUGACGAAGAAGAAGCUCGGUGCAAGGCAAAUGAGAGAAAGAAGGGAUGCAGAGAUGGGCAACUGUGGUUUAGUGUAGUGGUAUGAUGAGAGGGACUGCAGCAGGCAAUGGCUUUAUAUAGAGGUGCGCAAGGGAUAUGCCAUAUCAAAAGAACAUCAUACCCCCACAUGCAGGCAGUUUGUUAAUGCGCUAGGAGGCAUACUGCUGACCCUACACUUAUCCUACUCAUUAGUCUAUGUGCGUAGAGCUUAGGAGCUAGCAAAAGCUUAAACUAUGCAUGCCCAUGACCAUACUGGUGAACUACAAUGGUAAAAACAGACAAGAUAAAGUGGCCGUCCAUCCAUCCGUGCAACAAAGGUGGAUGCAGGUUGUUUAGUGACUCCAAGAAAGGGACUGCAAAAAAUAUCCUGGCAGGGGUUAGAGGGAAGCUUCCAGGAAGGUCAUCUUAAUACACAGAGUAAGUGUGAUUAAGCUCAUCCAUGACAGAAGAAGACCUUGUAACACUGCUACUAUGAAAUGCCGUCCAAACAGCAAAGGGAUAGAACUUUAGUUAUCGAUGAGACUGGUCUGAAUUCACCUUCCAUGCAUUGGCAUGAAGUUACAGCUAAUAGAGUUACACGAUUAACAAACAUAAGGCAUUGUAAUAAUGCAAUAAGAAAUACCGUAUAACGCGCAAACCAUUUGGGUACGGCUUCAUACUUCAUGACACUUGUCUGGUUUCACUUUCCAUUCAUUGCAGCAGUUUUAUCUCUUUCCUUAGAACAAUGCUGGCACAUAGCUGGUGAUAAAGUUGGCAGCCUUGACUAGAGGCAGGAAGACAUCAUAAUCCUCAUUCUCUAAAGAUGUUUGAAUGGAGAACCCAAGACCUCUUGCUCUGCAGUCUGCAACUGUGUAUCAAAAUAAAUUUGAACAAGCAAAAUACUUGAUACUUCUAUGGUUGUCCUAAAAAUUAUAUUUUAUUGCCAUUAUCCAAUAAUUUCCGAGAUGUAGGGUUUCUCUAUUAGACCAUACAUUUGGAUUAAACAUAUUGCACUUUGCAAUAUAGCCAGUUUCAUUCUGGACUUCUAGUCUGAUGACCCAUCAGCCCACCACCACUACCUACACAUUGUCUUCAUUUCUUCGAUCCGUUCCUAAUGGCACAUAAAACUAGGUCUCAUUGCCUAAAUUACUGAUUAAAAUUCAUUUCUAAAUAUUUUCAAACAUGGAUACGUGGAGUAUGAAGUGAUGCUAAGUAGACAGGAACUUGUCUAAGAGCAAAUAAUUCUUUCUAUUUUACCAUCAGAAGUACCUCAUAUAUGUCACUCAACUAAUCAAACAUCAUCAGUGAAGUCACUACAAGACAUUAUCAAGUCUAAAAUGUUGCAAGACAGAAGCCAUAGUUAUUGUAGGUCGAAUGCUAAUCAUGUACUACAGUACUAGGGAAUCAAAUCAGAGCAAAUCUCCAUAUGCAUUGAACCUCUCUCGGCUAGACUGCUAGUCUGCUACAGAAGUCAUAACACUAGAACAAAACAGAGGAAGAUUAUAGGACGAUUUACCUUUUCUCUAAAGAAAAAGAAGAUAGGCAGAUUGAGGAUCGACGCCAGCAAUUGCAAGAAACUUUUUUCUGAAGAAUGGUGCAAGAUGAUAGCCAUUCUUUUUAAUCAAUGAGCAGUUGCCCCUUUCAAUAAUAAAUUCAACGCGCUUAGUGAAAACAAAACUUUUUUAUACGUUCAUAAAAUAGUUAAGCUUAAUAUAUAAACUCCAAGAUCCUGCGAUUAGCUGAGCCAAACUAGGUCUUCAGGCUUCUUUUCUACUACAAUGCAUGUCUUCUGCUGGGUUAACAGGAUCUGGGGGCUCCAAUCUUUCUUGUACCAAAAGGAGAAAGGAUGGGGGGCAUUUUCUGACUUAUGUUCUUCAUAGGUACAUCUAAUUUUAUAAUUAACCUUUCAACAUAGCCUACAAAGCAAAGGUGAUCACAACAAGCAUUUCAUGAACUCAGUAUGCGACAGUAUUUAGUUCAAACAUACAAGGCAAUUUUCUUUUUUCAAGUCUCCUUUCCAAACACCAGUUACGUACAGAUAUGCACACAUCCCUUCACAUUUCCAGGACCUCGUGAGGACCAAAAUGUGCAAAGAUAAGCCCAAUUGUUGUGAACAAUCUUGAGAUGAAAAAUUACAGACACUGAAGGACAAAAUAUGGAGAUUGCUCACUACAAUUAACUAUAUAUAAAGGUACUUUUGGUGCUCCAAUAGCACCAGCAUUUGCUCUCCAUAAUCAUCACAUUUAGAAGUGCUGUGUCCUUGCUAUUAGUAGGGGUCUGAUAGUACAGCUCAUAAAAAAGAGGCUUUCACUAAUACACACUUCAAGGUGAUAAUUAACAAUUUAUAUUGUCGGGAAAUACAAAUCACAGGGCGCCAGGAACAGCCCAGAGACAGGACCAGGCAAUUUGCAUCAUUGCUGCCCUGAAAUUCAUGUGGACCUUGUUCUAACACCCUCGACCAGCAUAUGUCUUGGUAAACUAACUUCUCAAUCUGUUAAAAGUUGCAACUUACCUUUGUUGGUUGUUGCCAGGAUGCAUGCAUGAGAAUCAGAAAUGAGUGAAGACCAAGACUGUCAAAGUUCGCUACAGAAAAAGCCCAAGUACCAAACAAAGUUGACCAUGCUGCACACUUUUUGAGCGGCAAAACCAUGUAACAUUAUACCAUCUGAUCCAGUGAUUAACGAAUAUGUGCAAGACCUCACAGUGCAUUAUAUGUUGCUUUAGUUUUGUGUAUAGUGUUGCCACUUGCACUCUCAGAUUCUACUAACAUGGGACUUACUCUGAGCAAUGGUCCAGGAAGGCUGGUAAUCUUAGUUAGUAACACUAACUGGUUGAGGUAAUGAGGAGGAACGAAACCAAUGCAUACAGAAAUGGAUGAAAACUUGACAGGUAAGAGACACCAAAAAUAGGCCUAAUCCUAAUUGCCGCCACUUGCAUAAGAUUGCCCAAAGGUGCAAAAAUCAGGUCAAGGAAACUAUAACUCCGAUCCUCCGAAGGUUUUGAGGAAUUCAGUUUUGAAAAAAAAAUAGCAUUAUAUCCAGCUGAUCUAUACAUAGAAAACAUGAGAGUUGUCUGUAAUUGCACCAUUUGAAAGGACACCUAAAGCUCAAACAGUUACGAGAUGAACUAAAAUAUUCAUUAAAAAAUAAAGAAUCUGAGAAAAGUAACAUGAAAUCAUUAAAGCUGCUCAAAACCGACAGAAGAUGCAUAAGAUCCUACCAACCCUUCAGAGUUCAAACAGAUUCCAAAGUGGAGCGCCACACCCCUACAGAGAUCUCAAAAGUUGCUCAAAGAGGCAAAGCAAGCAUCAUGCACAUAUUAGUUAUGUAUCCCAGAACAGCCUUGUCUGGUACAUAUGAACUCUUCUGGAUUCUUGCUUUGGGAACUAAUAAACAAUUCUGUACAUUAAAAACUUGCAUGAUAUUAUAUAAAUUUAAGAAUCCCAAAAAAGCUAGGGAAGAGCUGAAGAAUCUGGUCAGGGAGGGGCUUCGCGAAAAGGAGCUCCUCUCCGCCACUGCCGCCAUAGCGCCACCGCUGCUACUCUGAUCUCCCUGCUCCGGGCUCCUCCGCCUCAACUGGCUAUAGAUCGGAGCUCUCCUCCACACGGGCUCUCUAUUCAUCCCAUCAGCAGCCCCACAGGUUACGUGAGAAGGGAGAUCAGGGAGCACCUCGCAUUUGCCACCGUCGGCCGAUCCAACGCCAGAUUCAGCUCUCCUCGCUGCUCCCCCUUAAAUCCCGGCCCAAAAGCCAUUCGCGAUGUGAGCAAAAGUGGUGCAGUCGUCGUCGUUGCCUCCUAAGAGGCUCGCUGGGAGGCUUGCCAUGGGAGCCAACAGGAAGUUGCCGACGAGGUUGGUGCUGCCAUCUUCCUGGCCGCAGCCUCUCUCCAGCGUGGCCCCUUGCUGAUGAUCCCGCAGGGCAGCAGAAAGAGACGAUGAGGGUCACGGAGCGCCGCUGCCAUCAUCGACCCUGCAGAAGUUGAGCUACCCAUAGUUCAGGUCAGCCGUCGCCCAUUCACCUACCCGUCGUCUCCAAUUUUGUAUCACCGGCUGCAACCAUCGCGUCGUCACCACUCGUCUCAUCCUCUGCCGCAGUUGCACCACCGGUCGUCCACCACAAUUCAAGCCUCGGCCCAAGAGUGAGUCCGGAUCACCAGCAGCACCCGCCUCCAGAGCUUCUUUCGUAGAUACAUCUAUGGGCUCACCAAAAGGUUUGGACAGUCUUAAAUAUAGGGCUGGACACCAAGACGUAUCUGACAUGGAGACUAUGGUGCAGGACGGCGUAGUCUAUGUAGCAAGUGGCAAGAUAGGAACUAGUCGAGGAUUAGGAAAAGUACUCUUAGCAAUAGGAGUAGAACUCGUCUAGUCAAAUCCGACUAGUAUUCUUGCAAAACAACCGGCCUGUAACCCUACCCCCGGCAAUAUAAGGUGAGGCAGGGACCCCCUCCAAAGCAAUUCAAUCCAUCCAACACACAGGACGUAGGGUAUUACGCUAUUCAGCGGCACGAACCUGUCUAAAUCAUCUGUAUGUGUUCACCUUUGAGUUUCUGAUCUCGACGAGCCCCACUAACCAAAACACUACCUCAAGCACCCCCGGUAGGUUUCUGGAUUUAAACACCGAUAGCUGGCGCCAGGUAGGAGCUCUCGCUGAGAAUCCACUGGCGAACUCGAUGGUACAAGUCAUCAUCAAGUCAAUCGUCGCGUUUGAAGCAAGCACGACGUUCAUCUUUAGCUCCUGGGUUUGCAUCACAAACGGCACUGGAAAUUUCCGCCGCCAUGUUGCGUCAACCCCGGAGAAGAAUCAGCAAACCUUAAAGUUCCAGCAUCAAGCUCUGGAGGAUCUCGUCAAGAAUUUCGAUGAAUUUUCAAUUUCUGACUUAGUCACAGGCUAGGGGACGAAUCCGAGUACAACUCGACUUUUCCCACUAGAUGGCCUGGUGAUCACAUCAACUCCCCAAGGCAGAUUCGUCUACUAGCUCAACAUGAAACCACCUGCUCUCGCCAAGGACGACGAUUCACACCUCAUCACCUACCUUGACACCCUCCUGUACCAGGACGGAACUCCUCUGUCACUCAUCUAUGAAGAAGGCGGCACCAUGGAGGUCAUCACCUCAAGUUCAGGAAGCUACUCUCCAAAAAUGAGAACCCUUCGCUCUCAUUACUAAACAAGAGAACAAAGAAGAAGAGCAACGCAAUAGAAACCCACGACAUGAGCGUCACCUAGAUGAUACCUCACAAGAUGAUCUCACUACCAACACUGUUAGAGAAGAGACUGAAGCUCAAAUAACUCGACGACGAGCAAGAAACGCCGCAAGAGUAGAGCGUCGCGGCCACCUUGCAGCAGACUUACCAAUCCAGAACCUGGAUAACGCUUUUGAAGCAGUUCAAACGCGUCAUCAUCGUACUCCUCUGGCUACCAUCGCAUCUAUCGAUUUCAUCACCCGCGCGAUGCCUCAGAACGAGUAUACAAGACAAUUGGCUCAGCUGGCAGAAUUCGCUUAUGAACAACUUGAUCAGCAGAAUCCAAUACAGUUAGUUCAACAUUCCCCAUCCCAGCGUAGUCAACAUGGAAGCACCAAAGAUGCCCUCCAUCCAGACCAAGCCAACUUGGAGGCGCCAGACCAAGCCAAGCUAGAGUAGAGGGUAGUCAGGAAGGACCCUCGGGAGGUCGUAGCCACCAUGGGGAUAACCUAGAACCUGAGCGUCCAGCAGAAGACUUUCGCAAUAAGAUCAAUGCUAGCCACGACGCUCGUACCAUCAUCGACGGGCAGCGCCACAGGCACGAGCAAGAAGUUGAACACCCAUGAGAUGAUUCUAACGGGUUCCCCACCUUCUCAAGACGUGUGAGGAGGACAAUUCUACCCAAAAAAAUUAAACCUCCGGGUAUCACCAAGUACAAUAGCAAGCAGGACCUAGUCUAAUGGCUGCGGUGCUACUAGCUGUCAGUACAAGUAGCUGGGGGAACGACAACACCAAAGUCAUCUACUUCCCCAUCUGCAUCGAAGCAGCGCCACUUACAUGGCUUGAAUCAUUGGAUAUGAACUCCAUCGACUCGUUGAACGACCUCAAGGUAGCGUUCACCAUCAACUACGCAGGGGCAAUGCAGCGACUUGGCAAUAGGAUCGACUUGUCUCAAGUUAAACAACAAGAAGGCGAGACCCUGCGGAGCUAGUUACGUCGUUUCUUCGACAAGAAGGCAACAAUCGUGGACAUCACAAAGCACGACAUUAUAGAUUGCUUCCAGAAUGGCCUCUACGACCGCCGGAUGUUCCAGGACUUUGGCAGAAGACACCCCGCUAAUGGCAAAUCUCUCAAGAUCAUGGUACAAGCAUGGGUAGAUGGAGAAGACAGGAAGAUAUAGAGGUUAGAGUCCAAUCGCAACAAAGGCCAAAACAACAAUAAUCAAAACAACAUUCAACGCAAUGACAAGAACCGCAACGAUUUCCCUAACAAUGACAACCGAAAUAACUACUCGGGAGGUCACAACCGCAAGCGAAAGCCAGACAAUACUGUCGCAGCAAUGUCAUAGUCGUCCAAGAAAGGUGGCGGCAAAAAUCAAGACAGAUGCUCGUUUAAUGAGCUCUUGAAGAAAUAGUGCCCAUGGCACCCAUACCACAAACACUCUGCGAUAGAUUGUUUCAGUCUACUCGGAGUCAUAAAGGACCUGCCAGAACCAUCUAGCACCAAAGACAAGGGCAAGGCUAAGGAAGACAAAGACGAUGAUGACAAUGGCAAGUUCCAAAACUCAUCCAACACCAUUAACAUCAUUUUCGGUGAAACACCGGAUACUGCUACAAGUGGUCCCAGAAGCUCGCAAUUCGAGAGAUAAUGUCCGUUGAACCUGUGACACCAACGUUCCUCAAAUGGUCCGAGGGGCCAAUUACCUUCUCAAGGAAGGACCAAUGGACUAGUUUUUCAGACCCAGGACGGUAUCAUCUCGUCCUGGACCUAGUUGUCGCUGGCUCUAGACUCACUAAAGUACUCAUCGAUGGCAGUAGCGGUCUCAACGUACUGUUCACCAAGACACCGAAGAAAAUGGGCCUCGACAUUACCGAUAUGCUCACCCCAACGAACUCUUCGUUCUACAGGAUUGUCCUAAGUAAUACGGUUGUACCCCUUGGACAAGUGGUCUUGCCAGUUACCUUUGGGACAGAACACUACCAGACAGAAAUACAUUCGGUUCGAGGUAGCAAACUUGGAAACAUUGUACCAUGCCAUCCUCGGAAGACCAGCAUUGGCCAAAUUUAUGGACAUCCUGCACUACGUAUACUUAGUACUCAAGAUGCUGGGAUCCAAGGGAGUACUCUCCCUACGCGGAGACUUGAAGAGAUCGUAUGACUGCGAUAUAGAAGCCGUGGAGCUAGCAACAACUCCACAAGUACCAAAUUCUAUGAUGCAAGUUUUCGCUGCAUCCAAGAAGUUGCCUAUCAAAACUCGAAAUCCUAGAAAAGAUAUUGGGGGAAACCAAGGUCAAGCCGGCAAGUGAAGUAUACGUCAAAGCCAUUGACCUUGAGACUGGUGAUAGCUCCAAGACAGCCCUGAUUAGCACAGGGCUGGAUCCUAAAUAGAAAAGCGCGCUCGUCAGCUUCCUCCAGGCUAACCGAGAUAUCUUCGCGUGGAAACCAGCGGACAUGCCGAGGGUACCCAGAGAGUUGAUCGAGCACUCACUCAAUGUGAAUCCAAAAGCUACACCUAAAAGGCAAUGUCUUCAAUGAUUCACCCAAGACAGAAGGGAAGCCGUCAAGAAAGAGCUGGCCAAACUACUUGUGGCGGGCUUCAUAAAAGAAGUCUAUCAUCCAGAGUGGCUGGCUAAUCCCGUCCUGGUGCGAAAGAAAAAUAACAAUGAGUGGAGGACGUGCGUCAACUACACAGACCUCAAUAAACACUGCCAAAGGAUCCCUUCGGGUUUCCUAGGAUUGAUCAAGUUAUCGACUCCACAGUUGGAUACGCCCUACUCUGUUUCCUUGAUUGCUACUUGAGGUAUCACCAACUAGCUCUCAAGGAAGAAGAUCAGAUUAAGACUGCGUUAAUCACCCCAUAUGGAGCUUUCUGCUACAUAACAAUGUCUUUCGGGUUGAAGAACGCAGGCGCUACCUAUCAACGGGCAAUCCAGAAGUGCUUCAAGAAGCAGCUACAUCGCAACGUAGAGGCGUAUGUGGACGACGCGGUCAUAAAGACCAGAAAUCCCGACAACAUGAUUGCGGAUUUAGAAGAAACUUUUGCAAGUCUGCGAGAAUUCCGGUGGAAGCUCAACCUGACAAAAUGUGCCUUCGGCGUACCCUCCGGGAAACUACUCGGGUUCAUCAUUAGUCACCAAAGAAUUGAAGCUAACCCCGAGAAGAUCUCUGCCAUCACCGACAUGCAUGCCCCAACAUGUAUCAAGGACGUUCAGGAGCUAUCUGGAUGCAUGGCGGCCCUCAACAGAUUCAUCUCAAGGCUUAGAGAAUGGGGCCUACCCUUCUUCAAACUACUCAAGCGGCAAGACAAAUUUUAGUGGACUGAGGAGCCAGAUCAAUAAAAGCCACCGGUCCACACGGCGUCAAACCCCAACGAAUACUUGCUAUUUUAUAUUGCGGCGACUACUAACGUCGUCAGCACGGGGAUCGCGAUUGACAGACCAGAACUAGGCCAUGUAUACAAAGUACACAGGCCCGUUUACUUCAUCAGCGAGAUGUUGUUAGAUUCCAAGGCUAGAUCGCCAGUCCAGAAAUUGCUAUACGCAAUACUGCUCACCUCACGGGAGCUACGACACUACUUCCAGGAGCACAACAUCUUCAUCGUCACAGACUUCCCCUAGGGAGAAAUUCUCCACAAUUGAGAUGCAACGAGAAGAAUAUCUAAAUGGGCAGUAGAACUCGGAGCAUUGCCCCUAGAAUUCAAGUCAAGGGCUGCAAUCAAAUCCUAGGCCCUAGUCGAUUUCAUGGCAGAGUGGCGGGAAAAUCAACUACCAAUGCCAGCAGAGCGUCCAGAGCAUUAGGUCAUGUAUUUUGACGGAUCACUCAAGCUUGAGGGCGCCGGCGCAGGAGUACUCUUAAUAUCUCCCAAAGGCGAACAACUCAAAUACGUCUUGCAAAUCUUCUGGGAAGUAUCCAACAAUGAAACUGAAUACGAAGCACUGCUGCACGGGCUCCGCCUAGCAGUCUCACUAGGAAUCAAGCGAUUGCUAGUCUACGAUGACUCACUGGUGAUAAUCAAUCAAGUCAAUGACGAGUGGGAUCGCCACAAGGAGAACAUGGAUGUGUAUUGCCUAGAAGUACGCAAGCUAGAGAACAAAUUCUCUAGUCUGGAUUUCCACCAUGUAGCUCGCGACAACAACAUAGCCACAUACUUCUUGUCCAAGAUUGAAUCUACUCAUGCUCAGGUUCCAGUAGGGGUUUUCAUCCAUGAGCUACAGAAGCCAUCCAUAACGGAGCCGUCACCAUCAACAACCACUGAUCGAGGUCCUACCGCACCAGAUCAGGAGGUUAUGAUGAUCGACGUAGAUUGGAGAGCACCCUUCAUCGACUAUAUCAAAGAACACAAGUCACCUCCAGACAACAACAGAAGUAGAGAAAGUCUCAUGACGCAGCAAGAACUAUGUUCUAGUUGGAAACAAGCUUUACAGAAGAGGCGCAUCAUCACAAGUACUCAUAAAAUGUGUCUCACGGCUAGACGGCAAGGACAUACUAGAGGAAAUCCACAAAGGCAUUUGUGGCAACCACGCAUCCUCAUGAACGAUCAUGGGCAAAACCUUUAGAGCAGGGUUCUAUUGGCCUACAUCUCUCGCUGACUCCAAGGAACUAGUCCGCCGUUGCCAUGGAUGCAAAUUCUUCAUCAAACAACAGCAUGUCCCUGCCUACUAACUAAUCACCAUACCACCCUCUUAGCCCUUCGCAUGCUGGGGGCUCAACAUGAUUGGCCGACUACCCAUGGCACCUGGAGGAUUCAACCGAGUACUGGUGGCAAUUGACAAGUUUACCAAGUGGAUCAAAGUGAAGCUAGUAACCUGCCCCAAGGUAGACAGAAUACUCGACUUCCUUGACGAAAUUGUCCAUCGCUAAGGCUUCCCUAAUCACAUCAUCACAGACCUUGGCUCCAACUUCAACAAUCAUGAGUUCUGGGAAUACUGCGAGAACAGUAGGAUCGAUGUCCGGUAUGUCUCUGUCGCUCAUCCGCGAGUCAAUGGCUAGGUUGAGCGCGCCAAUGGGAUGAUACUAGAAGCUCUCAAGAAAAGUCUGCACGAUAUUGGAAACACAAAAGGAGACAAGUGGCUCAAAGAACUACCCAAUGUCCUCUGGGGGCUCCGCACCCAGCCAUGCAAACCUAAAGGGAAAUUGCCCUACUUCCUAGUCUACAGAUCUAAAGCUGUCCUUCCUGCUAACGUCAUAUGGAAAACUCCAAUAGUCGAGCAGUACAAGGAGGGGGCAGCAGAAGAAACAAGGCGUCUAGACUUAGACAGCCUCGAAGAAGCUUGCUGUGCAGUACUCAUCCAGUCUGCAAGGUACCAUGAAGGAAUCUGCCGCUAUCAUGAUUGCAACGUCAAAGAACAUUUGUUCAAUAUAGGUGAUAUGGUCCUCAAGCGUAUCCAAGAUACCAAGGGGUUGCACAAGCUAAGCUCACUAUGGGAGGGACUGUUCAUCGUCUCCAGGGUCACUAGACCUGGGUCGUAUAGGCUCCAACAUCUCUCUGGUGAAGCCAUCGAUAACUCGUGGAACAUCGAGCAACUCUGUCAGUUUUAUCCUUAAAUUUUUAUUUACAUAUUCAUAUACAUUGGCCAUCGGCCCUAGUCGUAGAACUACGAUUCAAUAAAGCAGUUAUAUUUUUUCAUCAUAAUUCGACUACUUAUUUCCUAACUAGUCACGGCUUGUAGAAGCAAGUUUGCAGAACUAUUCAGCUCCAUGGGCAAAAUUGCCCAAAUCGUAGCAAUUAAUGACAAAUCUGCACAACUACAACAAGCUAUCUAGCUCCUCAGGAAAACUUUCCUAGAUGUAGCAUGUAAUCACAAAGGCUGCAAAAUCUUAAAGAGUUAUUCAACUCGCUGGACAAAAUCAUCCAAUUGCAAAGCAAGUCUGCAGUAAACUUUAUGAGUUUGUCAACUCAUGGGACAAAUUAGUUCCUCAGCGGCUGGUAGAAAAGAAGCCAUCAGUACUUCUGGGGUUAACUAAACUACCUAAGAAACUAUUUACUAGACAAGUCUGUCUAGUCGUGGCUUGUAAUUACAAGUUUGCAGUUCCAAGUUUUCUAGAGCGCAACAUCAAUACAACCUAUAGAGAUUGUAAGGAUAGGCUCUAGUCGAAGCAAACCUGAAGAGAUUACUCUCCUAAGAGGUCUAACCACCCAGAUACCUUGAGUAUUUGUACUCCAUAAAAAGGAGUCACAUCCUAAGUAUUCUACAUGAUGUAUCUAAAGAGACUUAUCAAAAGAAGCCUUGUGCACAGACACUUACAUCUACCGUACGAGCAAUUAAUAUGGAAAAUCGUAAGAUGCACUAAAAUAACAAGUUGAAAGCAACGAAGAUUGCAACAAGACUUAGAAUUAUUUACAUUUCAAAGCAUUUAUCUUUACAGUAUAAAGAACUAAUGUUUGCUUUCGGUACAAAACUACUCAAGGUCUCGAUGAUUUGCUACUUCUUCGGCGAUGGGGUCCAUCUCUUGCAAGUACUAUUGAAAGAGUUCGUCCGAGCAGUCCUCCGCUAUUCCCUCCGCAACAGGAGCUAGAUCAGCUUGCGGGUAGAAGGACUUGACAAAGCUCAUCAGCUGCUUGGAGACAGACUUCGCCAUCUUCUGAAUGUAGCCAGUGAAUUUCACUGGCACAUCCUUGAGUAUUUCGGACAAUGGAUGGGGCUCUACAACCUCAACUGGGGGCUCCACCAUAUCCAAUAUUGGCUAGGCUGCUUCAAAUAUCUCUUUUAGAGCAAUUCUUCCAGUCUCCAGCUCAGACUCACGGUGCUGGAUGGUUUUCAUGGCACUGAUCAAGUCAACUUCACCAUCUUCACGCAUCUUUUUCUCUUUCUUCAGGUGAUGCUCCAGGUUCUCAUACCUUGAUACUAGCUUAUCAUGUUGAUCUGUCACCCGAUAGUAAGAGUUUUUCCAGUCGGUGACUUGUCCUUGAAGAUCAUCUUUUAACUUUUCGAGCGCUGCACAAAUAAUACACAAGAGGAUCAGUAUUACAAAAAAAAUCAGUACUCAAAAUCCAAUGAGAAAGGGCAAUUACCUUUGGUCUGCUGGUUCAAUGACUUGUUGCGCCCCUUGAGAUGGUCCUUUUCCUCCUCCAGCUGCUGGACGCGGUUCUGGUACUCAGCGGCUUGUCUGUCAUACUUCAUCAGCAGUCGGGAGGAGUACUCCCUCUCCUUGACAAGUUCCUUUGCUAGAACCUCAGCAUGGAGUACUGAGUCCCCGUAGCCUUGGAGCAUCUACGACGUCCGGCGGGAGCGCUUGAUGACAUCCUAUGCCAUAGAAUAAGUACUCGUGUUAGGGCAUGGGUACUAAUUACAAGUUACGAAAAAAGCUGGAUCAAGCAUACCUCUGCAUAAGCACCAAUAUGACGGUGCAUCUCCAUCAUUCCGGCUACCAUGUCUAUGUUUAGAAAGGGGUCGUCAAUCAACUAGAUAUCUUCAAGACUAAUUUCUUCAGCUGCCAGUGGAUUCGCGUGAGCUUCAGAAUCCGCUGUACUGAGUGGAAUCACAACGAGUCUUGUCGAUGGACCUGGCUUGGAAGAUGCGGCAGCAGCCAUGACUUCCAGCACUUCCGCUGCAUCAAUUUCUACCUCUUGCUCGGGAGAUAUGAGAGUAACCAUGGUGCCAGAGGUAGUCACCACCACAUCUUCGAACACUUGUUGCUCGGGAGCUGGCACUACAACGUCAGUCGAUGAGAACAUCCUGCAUCAACACUGCUACAAGAGACACAACACCUGGGUUGCUUGUCAUCGUAGGGUGUUCCUCUGGCUGCAGACUUGCUUGGACCGGGGAGACAUCCUGCACUAAGUGGCUAUUGCCAUCAGUCAUGGACUUCAAGCUAGGCCCUCCAAAGUCCACAUCGGAGGAUUUCCUACAUAAGAAGUUUUCAGAGACAUACACAAGUCGAUCAUAAGCUACAAUUAGUAACCAAAGGAGUAGCAAGACAUACCUUGUAGAUCUCUUCAACUUCAGAGAAGGUUCCCUUGUUAGGCGCAGUGGCUUGAUGGUCAGAGACGGUUUCUUUAGCGUCACUUGAAUGGUCGCAUCACGAUCAUCACCAGCCUUCGACACCGCCUCUAUUCUUCGAGUAGCCCUUGCGCCGGUAGGGUCCACCUCAAUGACAGGAGGUUCUGGAUCAUCUUCAAUUUUGAUCACCUCCUCGAUGAUCGGUAACUUAUCUUGUGUGGCCAGAGAAUCCACUUUCUUAGCAUCCAUCACCAGCUCGAGUACCUGCAAAGUACAAAAGUCAUUUUUAGUAGACAUGGUGGUUAUGUAAUCACAAGCUAAGAGUACUCGAUCCUCAGGAUCUUGUCCUUCUUCAUAAGUAAUUACCGCUGGAGGUACAUCUUCUGUAGUGAUAGACUUCUUUGGCCCGCUUCAUAGUGAUGGCCCGCUUCUUUCUCGAUGGCAGAGAAAUUGUAGCUUCCAGAUCAUCAUCAACUGCACGCUUCAUCGAUCCAGAGGACCACCCGGCCUUAUCAUAUGGCCGGGCCUUGACUUUGAAGUCUUCCGCGGCAUCAGAACUAGAGCUGCUGAAGGCCUCGAGUACCUCUUCCUCCUCAUCAUCGCUCUCAGCACUCUUUGCCAUAUACAUGCAUGGAGCGGCUUCGCAAAUAUUUUCUGAUCCGAGACGAGGAGGCGCAGAGCAAUACACAUUGACGUCUUCCUACACAGAAAGACAAGUUAGUACACCCAAACACUAUAAAAUAAGUACUCGGGGGCUACGGCCAUGGAUACUUAUAGGCUUUGGCGGGUUGGCAGCGCAGAAUUCUCGCAAAUAGUGGAGACAUCGCCCACAUUCUUGAACAUCCACCUCAACCUCACCAUGAUUUCCUCUAUACUGAGUUCCUCAGGAGAUAGCCUCGAUGGGUCAUUGAUGGUAGAGUACUCGUAGCCCCAAUGGCAUCGCUGUGCAAGGGCUAAAUUCGAUGCUUCAUGAAGCUGAAAGCUACUCCAAUUCCAGUCAGUCCUUCUUGUUUCAGUUUGGAUAUUCUAUCUAGGAGCUCGGGUAGUUGAAGGAAAUCUCCAUGAGUUGGCUCAUCCAACCAUUGGUUGUUCCAGGUGGGGCGAUGCCCUGUUAGCUUGGGUAGUUUGGGAUCGUGGUUGCUGAUGUACCACCACUUCUCCUUCCACCCGGCAUUUGAAUCUAUUAGCUCAUAAUCUAGGUAGAGGCUGUUGAACUUCUCCCUCAUUUGAAUUUCGGCACCUCCGACUACUUGGGUAUGCUCCCUCUUUGGUUAAGGCUUCACUCGGAAAAACUUUUGAAAAAGUUGGAAGUAGGGCCUGAUCCCCAAGAAAGCUUCACAGAAAUGCACAAAAAUAGUGGUGUGUAGAAUGCCGUUGAGGUUUAAAUGAACUAGCUCCAAUUUGUAAUAUUCCAACGGACCUCGAAAAAAAUCAGAUGCCGGCAAAGCAAGACCACGCUCGAUGAAGUGAGCGAAGAUUACCGUUUUAUUCGGGUACUCCUCCAAUGGCCAUGGGUUGCCGUAGGCAGAUCCGCAAUUUAUGAAGUCUUAGUCUUGGAGUAGAUUGAUGGCCACGAACACCUUGAUCUCCUCUUCUUUCAAAGCUGACCGUUUCCAGGUGCAGGCGAGAGUUGGCGGUGCAGUCUGGUUCGUCUUCCCGUACUUGGGCACCGACAACUGUUGCUCCUUAUUCUUGUCAACUUCUUCUUCUUGUCCUCCAUGGUAGGCUUGAUAGUAGUAGCUUUUCUUCCAUCCUUGACGUCACGAGUUUCUUCUUUCGCAUGCACUCGGGGGCUGAGUGGUGGGGGAUGGCGGUGCUAGCGCUCGGAGAUCGGGCAGCGGCAGUGCUAGGGCUACAGUACGGAAGUUGAAACAACAGAUGGCAAAGGUUAAACAGAAGGGAUGAUUACCUCCAUUAUUUAUAACCGCGGCGCACUAACAGUAGCGCGAAUAAAAGAAUAUUCAGGUUUCACGGAUUCAAAGAUUUCGUGGCACCUUAUUGGCAGUUACCUCUCUUUUAAGAAGAGAUAAGGUUUCCGUUCAGAGAUAGUUCAGUUGACAAAAGGUUGACCCUUAUACCCACCAAACUAGUCGGAUAACGGCUCAAGAGCUAUGUGCCACGUGCCCAUCGACAAAAAGGUCUUUUCUCUAGGUUUUUAAGGGGAAAGUGAUGUAAAUUACAGAUUGACCCUUAGCCUGAUUCUUUGAUUCAAUCUAAGACUCAGGAGCUACUCCAUAUGGAGUGCGACUUUUGUCGCAGUUCCAUAUAAAAUUCAAGGUUGAAAGAUACAAGGCUAAGUUAAAUAAGGCUUGAGCACAUUCUAGCCGCAUGAUAGUGCUCGGGUACCUUUGAAGACUCAACCUGAUGAAGUACUUGAAGAGCACCAAAACUAGUCGGUGAAGUCUACAAAAGUACUCGGAACUGCUGCAUUUGACUAAAAAGUACUUAGAGGUUUGUUGUACAUACAUCUAUGGGCCUACCAGAAGGUUUAGA